GACGAACGCUGGCGGCGUGCUUAACACAUGCAAGUCGAACGGAAAGGCCCUGCUUUUGUGGGGUGCUCGAGUGGCGAACGGGUGAGUAACACGUGAGUAACCUGCCCUUUACUUUGGGAUAACUUCAGGUAACUGGGGCUAAUACCGGAUAGGAGCUCCUGCUGCAUGGUGGGGGUUGGAAAGUUUCGGCGGUUGGGGAUGGACUCGCGGCUUAUCAGCUUGUUGGUGGGGUAGUGGCUUACCAAGGCUUUGACGGGUAGCCGGCCUGAGAGGGUGACCGGCACAAUUGGGACUGAGAUACGGCCAAGACUCCUACGGGAGGAAGCAGUGGGAAAUAUUGCAAAAUGGGCGGAAGCCUGAUGAAGAAACGCCGCGUGCGGGAUGACGGCCUUCGGGUUGUAACCCGCUUUCGCAUGUGACGAAGCGUGAGUGACGGUAAUGGGUAAAGAAGCACCGGCUAACUACGUG
rnacentral:rRNA from 1 species